rnacentral:rRNA from 1 species
GACGAACGCUGGCGGCGUGCUUAACACAUGCAAGUCGAACGGAAAGGCCCUGCUUUUGUGGGGUGCUCGAGUGGCGAACGGGUGAGUAACACGUGAGUAACCUGCCCUUGACUUUGGGAUAACUUCAGGAAACUGGGGCUAAUACCGGAUAGGAGCUCCUGCUGCAUGGUGGGGGUUGGAAAGUUUCGGCGGUUGGGGAUGGACUCGCGGCUUAUCAGCUUGUUGGGGGGGUAGUGGCUUACCAAGGCUUUGACGGGUAGCCGGCCUGAGAGGGUGACCGGCCACAUGGGGACUGAGAUACGGCCCAGACUCCAACGGGAGGCAGCAGUGGGGAAUAUUGCACAAUGGGCGGAAGCCUGAUGCAGCAACGCCGCGUGCGGGAUGACGGCCUUCGGGUUGUAAACCGAUUUCGCCUGUGACGAAGCGUGAGUGACGGUAAUGGGUAAAGAAGCACCGGCUAACUACGUG